UGCACUCACAGGGAGGAGGAGGCGGCAGCGGCGGAGGAAGGCGGCGCACCCCGAGAGGCAUGCCCAAAGAAAAGUACGAGCCCCCUGACCCUCGGAGGAUGUAUACAAUUAUGUCUUCUGAGGAAGCAGCAAAUGGAAAGAAAUCCCACUGGGCAGAGCUUGAAAUAAGUGGAAAAGUCAGAAGCUUAAGCGCAUCUUUGUGGUCACUAACUCACCUGACAGCUUUGCAUUUGAGUGACAAUUCCCUGUCCCGAAUUCCUUCAGACAUUGCCAAGCUUCACAAUCUGGUGUAUUUGGACCUGUCAUCUAAUAAAAUUCGUAGCUUACCCGCAGAACUCGGAAACAUGGUAUCACUCAGGAAAUCCCCUUACCCAGGAUAUAUUGAACCUUUAUCAGGAACCAGAUGGAACAAGACGGCUGCUGAACUAUUUGCUUGAUAAUUUGUCAGGUACUGCAAAAAGAAGUAAGUGGUUAUUUGUUUAAACCUUUUUAUUAGGAAGACGUGUAAGAAUAUUGCUUAAUUCUGUAUUUUCUAUUCAACUAGUUACAACA
rnacentral:sRNA from 1 species